UGGUGGAGUGAUUUGUCUGGUUGAUUCCGUUAACGAACGAGACCUCGACCGAUUAGUUAGUUGAGCUCCAGGUAAAGUUAUACUGCACCUGGUAAGCCAAGUUUCUGAAUUGGGACUAUCGGUGUGUAGCCGAUGGAAGUUCGAGGCAAUAACA
rnacentral:rRNA from 1 species